UUUUAUUGGGUGGGACUCUUGCUACAUGGUGGAAGGCAAUUCAAAUUACUCCAACAUACAAAGGAUUUCUUCAUUUUAACGUGAAAGCUUGGCUGAGCUAAAAAGGGAGUGUUGGAGCAAACAUCAGUGCAGAUUUGGUACACACAAAUUUAUUUUUUGGGUUUCUCCAUCACGGUUCACGUACACACAAAUUUUUUGGAUUUCAUUGAGAAUUCAUUGGAAUGGAAUAUUAGAAAAGUUCAGAAUAUGCAUCAUCAAAGGAGAUGGUGGCGGAUCCGUUGACAAAGGAAGCUGCUGCAGAGAGUUUCAAGGGACAUAUCCGUACUAUGGGAGUUAUUAAAUAAUUAUUGUACAUCUCAAAUUAUUUGGCCAAGUGGGAGAUGUUGAAUUGUGUGGCCAAAUAGCCCAC